AACACUGCCAUGACGACAAGUCAUAGAGGGAAGGACUCUCUCUAUUCAGUAUGGUUCUAGAAAGGUUAGAGGGACGUCUACAGGAACUAGAUGCUGACAGACCACGUCUGAAAAGGCAAGCACAGAGCAGAGAAUAAACUCGGAGAGGAGGGACAGGUUUCGACCGAGCUCUUUCGAACAGCAAGGGCACAUUACUUUAACGUCCAAAAUCAGUGUCACGAACAGACAACCAAGUGCUUUGAUGUGCAAAACUCGCCAGCCCCGGGGCCGGAUCCUGCAGUGAAAGCGGACGGACAGGAGAAACACCAGGACCACACUCAGCAUGGUUCCGGGCUUUGGGCAGU
rnacentral:lncRNA from 1 species